rnacentral:RNase_P_RNA from 1 species
UGUCGCGGGCCGGCUACGCCGGCGUGAGGAAAGUCGGGACAGCAUAGAGCGCCAUACUUCCUAACGGGAAGGCAUUGGAGACAAUGACAGCGAGUGCCACAGAAAAUUACCGCCCGCGAGGGUAAGGGUGAAAACGUGAGGUAAGAGCUCACGCCGUCGCGUGGUGACACGCGACGGCGGUAAACCUUAUGGGCUGCAAAACCAAAUAUACCGGCGACAGAGGGCUGCUCGUCCGAGCCGGGUGGGUGGGUUGCUAAAGCCUGACGGCGACGUCAGGAUUAGAGAAAUGACAAUCAUUCAGCAAUGAGUACAGAAUCCCGCUUAUGCCUU